rnacentral:rRNA from 1 species
CACGUAGGGGGCAAGCGUUGUCCGGAUUCAUUGGGCGUAAAGAGCUCGUAGGUGGCCCACUAAGUCAGACGUGAAAUCCCUCGGCUCAACCGAGGAACUGCGUCUGAGACUGGAGGGCUUGAAUCCGGGAGAGGGAUGCGGAAUUCCAGGUGUAGCGGUGAAAUGCGUAGAUAUCUGGAGGAACACCGGUGGCGAAGGCGGCAUCCUGGACCGGUAUUGACACUGAGGAGCGGAAAGCCAGGGGAGCAAACGGG